rnacentral:lncRNA from 1 species
AAAGAGUUGCAUUGCUACAGUCACACACUUAAAAUUGUAGAGUAUUUUCAUGGUUUGACUGAGAUUGGACUAGGUGCUGCUGCUCUAUGCCUUCUGGUUCUCAGUUUCUUCUUCCUCGACAACUUUCUUUCCAAAUCAUUCACUCUCCCGGUUAAGUUUGAUAUGACUGUUAAUUGCUCCUUCCCCGCAUUGAUCAGCUGCUCCAUCAUCUCCCUCAGUUUCUUGUUUUCUUCUAUUAGCUUUUCAUCGGGAG